rnacentral:lncRNA from 1 species
UACCUGAUUGUAACAGUCGGUGUUUUUCCAGUGAGCGAAUUUACCACCUUGUGUUUACUGAUUAAGCUGAUGAUUGGUAUUCAGAUUGCUUUCAGCCUCUGGGUAUUAUUAAAAAAAAGCUGCUACUCAUCUUAGAGAAGCACGCAGCUGAGAAACACAACGUUCUUAUUCUUACAACAAUAUGAACAGUGGCUGAACUGGAAAAGCUGCGCUUUAAUCAAUUGUCUUCAACACAUCAGUGAUUUUUCAGAAUCUGAUUGACCUGUGAUAGCCUAAAGGAUGUCCUAAUCCUGAAUCCACAAUUAGACCUGAGCAGCAAUCAUGGGCCGUGGAGGUCGCCUCACAUGUGGAAAGAUCUGACUCUGCAAAGCUGUACACGGGGGUCUCUGCAGGCCCUUAGUUGUACAGGAACAGCUCCUCCCUCAGACUCAGAAAACCAAGGUUUACAAGAAUCAAUGAACUUGGGAUAAAGUAGGAAAUUACAAGGACAUUACAAUUGUUUGCAAGCUGCGCGCUUGCUUCUCCAUGUCAUCUGAGAGGACCAAGGAAAAUCAUGUUUUCUUCUGUACAUUUCCAUAAAAGGUGUUCCCACCCUGAGAACGCACCUCCUAUACCUCCAACGUCAGGGAGCCCCUGGACCAGGCACCCGGCACAGCUCUCUGACACCAUCACCCGGUUUUUGACAAAGAGACCCAUCCUGGAGCUCCUCCCAAACAAUGACUGUGCACAGUGAAGAUGCUAACGCGUGGCUGCUGCUGGGCACAUGGGGGAUUCCUGAUGGACAGCUGUGUUCCAGGAGGAACCAGCGGCCUUGAUGGACUUAGCUUAGACCACAGGGUUGUUGGGAAGCUCCAUCAGACUCCCACCUUCUCCAGCACUGUUGUGAGAUUGGCAUAGUGAGCUGACAAUGUCUACAGCCUCACCCGGCCUCCUGCGCGCUUUUCUGCCUCUUGCCUCUCCCCUACACUCCACCACCUGCACCUCACACUAGACACUUACAAACACAGAGACAUUUUGGUCAGAACCUGCCACACAUAAUCACUGUUUUUUCACUCAUAUCCACUCACACUCAAUAUCUUUUGUUCUCCAUUAUUCGCCUUUCUGACAAAUGACAAUGUUUCCUCCUAUAGUAGCAAACUUUACUAACCCAGAGACAUCAGUGGUAGGCGCAGAUCCAUAAAGACAGAGGCCCAGGCGAACUGUUGGAUGCAGAGGAAUCCACAGAUCUGGAAGGAAAGUAGACCUUUGCCUUCACCUGCACCUGUACCUGCCCCUGGAACUGUCCCUGCCUUUUGUGUGUGCUGAGUGCCCACUGCAGCCCAGCCUCCUCCCUCCUCCCUGCAGGAAAUUUUGUGUCUGGGUUCACACUGAUGUCCCUUCAUUUGGUACCUUUGACUCAAUAAUACAGAGCCAUAUUCUCAGCUCUCAGACUGUUCAUUUGCAGAUACAACCUGUGCUUGGCAUUGUCUUUGGAGAUGGUGAAUCUGACCUUCACAGAGUCUGCAUAUUAUGUCUGACUUCCAUCGUACAUUAUAUCUACUACUCACUGCAGCCCCUUUCCUGGAGCCUGGCAGAUUCAGCUGAUCUAGUAGCUACAGAAGGUGGAUUCAGAGGAUGCACGGCAGAGUCUCAGGCACAUUCAGCUUGUGCCAACUCUCCCCAAGACUCCACCAUCUGCACCCCACACUAGACACCUACAAGCACAGAGACAUCUGAGUCAGAACCUGCCACACAGAAUCACUGUUUUUUCACUCAUAUCCACUCACACUCCAUAUCUCAAGUUCUCCAUUAUUCGCCUUUUAAAAUAAUGACAAGGGAAACCCAGCUCAGCCCUAACUCUAUGGUGAGCCAUGUUUGUACAGAGCUGAUCAUCAAAUCCAAACUCCUGGUAAUUCUGGACUAGAGAUCUUCUCCCAGAGUUGCAGGGUCAGGGCAGGGCUGGUUUUCAUCAGGAGAGGGAGGGCCCUAUUUUCUUGUCUCCUCCUCUGUAGCAAACUCUGAUGUGGGACCCCUUAGGAGAGAGCAGAGCCCAGAGCAGAUGUGAGACUCCUGGAGGAGUUUAGUGGUGAUGGCAGCAUUUGGGAAAAUAUAAUUUCUUAUUAUGUGAUUUUCCCAUUAAAAUUACUAAGCAAUUAUUAUUUUAUUUCUAUUUUACAUAGUUAUAAAAAUAGAAAUAUAACCGCAUUAACAAGAGUUUAAGAGAUAUGAAGUGAGAAAUAGAAAACAAUAAGAAAGGAGGAGACUUCAACACCUCACCCUCAAUAAUGUAUAGAACAUCCAUAAAAAAAUUCUUAGGAAGCCCAUGGACUUAAACAACACUAUUGAACAAACUGACCUAAUAGACAUCUACAGAACAUUCCAACCAAGCGCAGUGUAAUACGCAUGCUUCUCAAGCACACUAUAAAUAUUCUUCAUGAUAGCCUAUAUGUUAGAUAAAAAAUGGCUCUCAGAAUUUAAAAAAGUCAUGCCAACUGUUCUCUAACUUUUUUAAAAAAUGAUGAGUCGCCAACCUUCUAAGCUAUUUCUAAAAGGCUACAAUUACCGUGUUGCCAGUGACAGACAAACACAAAGGAAGAAAAUUAAACUUCAAAGAAAUAUUUAUACAAAUGAACUACACCAAAAUAAUAGUCAACUAAGUUCUAUAAGACUUUAAAAGGAUCAUGCAACAUGACAAACUCAAAUUUCCAGUCCAUUGACUCAAAUGUCAGCCUCCUCUGGCAAAACCCCCAGAGACACACCAAGAAACAAUACUUUCCCAGCCAUGUAGGCAUCCUUUAAUCCAAUCAAGUUGACACCUAGUAUCAAGCAUCAAAAGCCCACCUCUUGUCAACUUAGCACCCCUACACAUCUAGCUGCAAUCAUGCUUGAUCUCCAAAUAAAGACAAUAAUAAGGUCAUAAUUAUGCCUAACAUAAUACAGCUAUCCUUCAUACAACUGAAAGUGCACUAAUCCUUAACCUACAUACAUACCACUACAUAUAGUUAACAACAUUUAAAUGCUGUUAGGAAGUCAAUAAAUCUUGUGACACAUGAUAAAAAGAAAACAAAUUCAAUGAAAACAAUUAAUAUAUUUUUGUUUGUUUGUUUGUUUUUUAGAUGGAGUCUCAGUCUGUUGCCCAGGCUGGAGUGCAGUGGUGCAAUCUUGGCUCACUGCCACCUCUGCCUCGCGGGUUCAGGGUUCAAGCUAUUCUCCUGUCUCAGCCUUCUGAGAAGCCUGGGAUUACAGGCACCUGCCACCAUGCCAGGCUAAUUUUUGUAUUUUUGGUAGAGACGGGGUUUCACCAUACUGGUCAAGCUGGUCUCGACCUCUAGACCUCAGGUAAUCCACCCACCUUGGCUUCCUAAAUUGCUGGGAUUACAGGUGUGAGCCACCGUGUCCGGCACAAUGAAGAUAUUUUCUUAGUACAGUUAUACACAUGCAGAAAUAUAUUCCUAACAAGAUAUGGAGAAAAUAUCCUGAGACUUUGCUGAAGUUGCUUAUCAGCUUAAGGAGAUACUCACGACAAUUACGGUCCCCACUUCUGGUCGUGUGGUCAUUCCUGGUAUUGACAACUACCUUCUUCCACUACCCAUUCUGUAUUUGUUUUGCCUUCAGCAAGUACCUUGGCUGGUCAGGAUUUUUAAUCUGGGUGAAGACCCAAACUUUUAUUUCUGAAGUAUCUGGGCCAUUUGUAUUCCUGCCUGAAUUAGGUUGUUUUUUCCCAUUGAUCUUAAUCCCAUGGCAAAGUAAUACUAAGAGAUGUCCUAAGAAAUCUCCUGUAUUCCAGACAUACUCUGUCUCACCUCCAUUGUGGAGUAGUAGUCUGAUUUCAAAUUGAUAGUCCGGGUCAAUCACCCCAGCCAUUCAAAUGAGAGAGGUUUUUUUUUUCAAUUUAUGUAAAUGCAUAUCUUUGAAAUUUUGAAUGGGAUUGCAUUGAAUCUGUAAAUGCUUAGGUUAGGAUGGACAUAUUAACAAUGUAUGUUCCAGUAACACAAGAACACAAGAUAGCCUUCCAUUUAUUUGUGUUUUCUUACAUUUUAAUCAAUAUAUUAUAAUUUUCAAUGUGCAGAUAUUUUGUAUCCUUGUUAAAUUUAUUUUGGUAAAAUUUAUUUUAUGAAUUUUAAGCUGUUGUAUUUAGAUUUAUUUUCUUGAUUUUAAUUUUGAAUAAUCAUUUUUUAGUGUAUACAGAAGAUGCUUAUUUUUGUAGGUUGAUUUUUGUUUAAUUUCAAUAGCUUUGGGGGUAAAUAUUUUUUUGUUAGAUGGAGGAAUUAUAUAGCAAUAAAUUCUGAGAUUUUAGUACAUUCAUCACCUGAAUAGUGUACACUCUACCUAAAGUGUAGUUAUUUUCUCUCUAGUAUCCAUCCUAUUCUUUCCCUUCUGAGUCUCCAAAGUCCCUUAUAUCACUCUGUAUGCCUUUGCCAGUUCAUAGCCCAUCUCCCACUUGUAAGUGUGCAAACACAGUUUUUGCUUUUCUACUCCUGUGUAACUUCACUUAUACUCAUUACCUCCAGCUUCAUCCAAGUUGCUGCAAAGGACAUUAUGCCAUUCCCUUUAACGGCUUGGUAGUAUUCCAUGAUGUAUAUAUGUCAAAUUUU